UACGUAGGGUGCGAGCGUUGUCCGGAAUUAUUGGGCGUAAAGAGCUCGUAGGCGGUCUGUCGCGUCUGCCGUGAAAACCCGAGGCUUAACCUCGGGCUGGCGGUGGAUACGGGCAGACUAGAGGUAGGUAGGGGAGAAUGGAAUUCCCGGUGUAGCGGUGAAAUGCGCAGAUAUCGGGAGGAACACCGGUGGCGAAGGCGGUUCUCUGGGCCUUAACUGACGCUGAGGAGCGAAAGCGUGGGGAGCGAACAGG
rnacentral:rRNA from 1 species